AAUUGAUAACUUUGAAGGCUCUAGUGUUAAGGGGUUUGGAUAUGAAGACCAUGGUAUUAAACAAGAAUCACUUGCCAAUUUCAAAUUUGGAUCUUGUGUUUAUGAGGGAGGACACGGAGUAACGUCAAUGCGACCUUGCAGUUCCGUGAAAUUGGAGACUUCUGUACGACCUUAUAGUUCUGGCACAUUGGAGCCCAGGUCUAGCGGGAAGCCACCAGUUUCUGUUCAUCCAAAGCAGUUCACGUCUGUUCCUGCAAUAAUAAGCCGUAGUAGC
rnacentral:lncRNA from 1 species